CCUACGGGUGGCUGCAGUGGGGAAUAUUGGACAAUGGGCGAAAGCCUGAUCCAGCCAUGCCGCGUGUGUGAAGAAGGUCUUCGGAUUGUAAAGCACUUUAAGUUGGGAGGAAGGGCAGUAAGCUAAUACCUUGCUGUUUUGACGUUACCAACAGAAUAAGCACCGGCUAACUCUGUGCCAGCAGCCGCGGUAAUACAGAGGGUGCAAGCGUUAAUCGGAAUUACUGGGCGUAAAGCGCGCGUAGGUGGUUCAGCAAGUUGGAUGUGAAAUCCCCGGGCUCAACCUGGGAACUGCAUCCAAAACUACUGAGCUAGAGUACGGUAGAGGGUGGUGGAAUUUCCUGUGUAGCGGUGAAAUGCGUAGAUAUAGGAAGGAACACCAGUGGCGAAGGCGACCACCUGGACUGAUACUGACACUGAGGUGCGAAAGCGUGGGGAGCAAACAGGAUUAGAUACCCCGGUAGUC
rnacentral:rRNA from 1 species